GAUGAACGCUGGCGGCGUGCCUAAUACAUGCAAGUCGAGCGAAGCGGGGACGGGUGAGUAACACGUGGAGAACCCCCUAUAAGACUGGGAUAACCUAGGGAAACCGGAGCUAAAACGGAUACUUAUAGAAGGAGCAGUGCUGCAUUAGCUAGUGGGUAAGGUAACGGCUUACCAAGGCAACGAUGCAUAGCCGACCUGAGAGGAUGAUCGGCCACACUGUAACUGAGACACGGUCCAGACUCCUACGGGAGGCAGCAGUGGGGAAUCUUCCGCAAUGGGCGAAAGCCUGACGUAGCAACGCCGCGUGGGUGAUGAAGGUCUUCGGAUCGUAAAGCUCUGUUAUUAGGGAAGCGGUACCUGCUCAGAAAGCCCCGGCUAACUCCGUGCCAGCAGCCGCGGUAAUAC
rnacentral:rRNA from 1 species